rnacentral:rRNA from 1 species
UACAGAGGGUGCGAGCGUUAAUCGGAAUGACUGGGCGUAAAGGGCGCGUAGGCGGAUUAGAAAGAGAUAUGUGAAAGCCCUGGGCUUAACCUAGGAAGUGCAUGUUUAACUGAUAAUCUGGAGUAUGAGAGAGGGUGAUAGAAUUUCCGGUGUAGCGGUGAAAUGCGUAGAUAUCGGAAAGAAUGUCGGUGGCGAAGGCGAUCACCUGGCUCAAUACUGACGCUGAGGCGCGAGAGCGUGGGGAGCAAACAGG